CCUACGGGGGGCAGCAGUAGGGAAUAUUGCUCAAUGGGGGAAACCCUGAAGCAGCAACGCCGCGUGGAGGAUGAAGGUUUUAGGAUUGUAAACUCCUUUUGUGAGAGAAGAUAAUGACGGUAUCUCACGAAUAAGCACCGGCUAACUCCGUGCCAGCAGCCGCGGUAAUACGGAGGGUGCAAGCGUUACUCGGAAUCACUGGGCGUAAAGAGUGCGCAGGCGGGCUUGUAAGUCAGAUGUGAAAUCCUGUAGCUUAACUACAGAACUGCAUUUGAAACUAUGAGUCUAGAGUGUGGGAGAGGUAG
rnacentral:rRNA from 1 species